GGAUCCAGACUUUGAUUAUGGCUCAGGAUGAACGCUAGCUACAGGCUUAACACAUGCAAGUCAAGGGGCAGCAUGUUGGUUGCUUGCAACCGAUGAUGGCGACCGGCGCACGGGUGAGUAACGCGUAUCCAACCUACCCUUGUCCAUCGGAUAACCCGUCGAAAGGCGGCCUAACACGAUAUGCGGUUCACAGCAGGCAUCUAAGGUGAACGAAAUGUGAAGGAGAAGGAUGGGGAUGCGUCUGAUUAGCUUGUUGGCGGGGUAACGGCCCACCAAGGCUACGAUCAGUAGGGGUUCUGAGAGGAAGGUCCCCCACAUUGGAACUGAGACACGGUCCAAACUCCUACGGGAGGCAGCAGUGAGGAAUAUUGGUCAAUGGACGAGAGUCUGAACCAGCCAAGUAGCGUGCAGGAUGGCGGCCCUAUGGGUUGUAAACUGCUUUUAUAGGGGGAUAAAGUGUGCCACGUGUGGCAUAUUGCAGGUACCCUAUGAAUAA
rnacentral:rRNA from 1 species